rnacentral:rRNA from 1 species
CCUACGGGAGGCUGCAGUGGGGAAUAUUGCACGAUGGGGGGAAACCCUGAUGCAGCGGCGCCGCGGGAAGGAAGAAGGUUUUCGGAUCGUAAACUUCUAUCAGCAGGGAAGAAGAAAGUGACAGUACCUGACUAAGAAGCCCCGGCUAACUACGUGCCAGCAGCCGCGGUAAAACGUAGGGGGCAAGCGUUAUCCGGAAUCACUGGGCGUAAAGGCUGGGUAGGCGGCUAAGUAAGCCAGGGGUGAAAGGCUACGGCUCAACCGUAGUAAGCCUUUGGAACUACUUAGCUUGAGUGCAGGAGAGGAGAGUGGAAUUCCUAGUGUAGGGGUGAAAUGCGUAGAUAUUGGGAGGAACACCAGUUGCGAAGGCGGCUCUCUGGACUGUAACUGACGCUGAGGCACGAAAGCGUGGGGAGCGAACAGGAUUAGAUACCCGAGUAGUC